UUAAAAAAUUUUCUUGAUCAUUUAAUAUUAUUGAUUAUUUUUUAAAAAUUGUAUAAAAAAAAUAUUUUAUUUUGUAUUAUUUUUUUUGAAUUAUAUUGGGUUAUUAGAGUGUAAAGUAUAAAAAUAGAAUUAUUUGUUGAAAUUAAAAGAUGAAAUUAAUAUUUUUACCUUUUGUAUCAGGGUUUAAAGAAAAUUUAUUGGAUAAUUGUUUCUCGAAAAAUUAAGAUUUAAUUUACUUUGCUUUAUGAUGUUGAAAAAUUAUAUUAAAAAGUAUGUUGGAAAUGAAAAGUUAAACGUUUAAUUGGGAUUCUAGUUUCUGGUGAAAUUAAUUUAAUUAAGAAUUUAAUUUUAAAUAUUUUUUGUUUAUUUACUGUAGUUGAAUUUUAAAUUAUAAAGAGUUUAGUUUUUAUAAAUUUUAUAUUAAGUUAAAUGUUAAUAUAUUUAGACUUGAAAUUGGUUAAAAUAAAGAAUUUUUUAUAAAUGUGAAUUUAAUUAUUUUUAUUUAUUUUUAAUUGAAUUUAUAAUCAGAUGUUUUUUUAAAUUUUUUAAAAAAAGAAAUAAUUUUAAAAUUAGUAAACUAAUAAAUUUAAAUAUAGUAACUCGGCAAAUAGAAUUUCUGCCUGUUUAUCAAAAACAUGUCUUUAAGAUAGAUUUUAAAGUCCAAUCUGCUCACUGAUUUUUUAAAGAGCCGCAGUAUUUUGACUGUGCAAAGGUAGCAUAAUCAAUAGUCUUUUAAUUGGGGACUGGGAUGAAAGAUUAGACAAGAAAUUAACUUUCUUUAUUUUAGUAAGUUUAAUUUAAAAUUUAAGUAAAAAUUCUUAAAUGCUAUUAAAAGACGAGAAGACCCUAUAGAUUUUUAUUAAUAUUUGGUGUUAUUAAAAUUAAAUAUUAAAUAUUAAUUUAAUUGGGGCGAUGUUGUAAAAUGAUUAACUUAAUUUUGUUAGACCAUAUAUUAUUGAAGCUUUUGAUCUAAAAAUUUUAAUUGAAAGAUAAAUUACCUUAGGGAUAACAGCGUAAUUUUUUUUAAGAGUUCAUAUCUAUAAAAAAGUUUGCGACCUCGAUGUUGAAUUAAGAAAAAUGUUGGAGUAGAAGCUAACAUUAUUUAGUCUGUUCGACUAUUUAAUUCUUACAUGAUUUGAGUUCAGACCGGCGUGAGCCAGGUCAGUUUCUAUCUUUAAAUUAUUUUUAUAAGUAAGUACGAAAGGACAAUUUAUUAAUAAAAUUUAUUUGAAAUUG
rnacentral:rRNA from 1 species